rnacentral:rRNA from 1 species
ACGACUCUCGGCAACGGAUAUCUCGGCUCUCGCAUCGAUGAAGAACGUAGCGAAAUGCGAUACUUGGUGUGAAUUGCAGAAUCCCGUGAACCAUCGAGUCUUUGAACGCAAGUUGCGCCCGAAGCCUUCUGGCCAAGGGCACGUCUGCCUGGGUGUCACAC